UACAGAGGUCUCAAGCGUUGUUCGGAUUCAUUGGGCGUAAAGGGUGCGUAGGCGGCGCGGUAAGUCGGAUGUGAAAUCUCGGGGCUUAACUCCGAAACUGCAUUCGAUACUACCGUGCUUGAGGACUGGAGAGGAGACUGGAAUUUACGGUGUAGCGGUGAAAUGCGUAGAUAUCGUAAGGAAGACCAGUGGCGAAGGCGGGUCUCUGGACAAUUCCUGACGCUGAGGCACGAAGGCUAGGGGAGCAAACGGG
rnacentral:rRNA from 1 species